rnacentral:snRNA from 1 species
AUUCAUAUUUGGCAGGGGAGAUACCAUGAUCGUAAAAAUGGUUUCCCAGGUUAAGGCUCAUCCAUUGCACUUCGGAUAUGCUGAACCCUGUGAUUUCCCCAAAUGUG